rnacentral:misc_RNA from 1 species
GAUGAAGAACGCAGCGAAAUGCGAUACGUAGUGUGAAUUGCAGAAUUCAGUGAAUCAUCGAAUCUUUGAACGCACAUUGCGCCCGCUAGUAUUCUGGCGGGCAUGCCUGUCCGAGCGUCAUUUCAACCCUCAAGCCCCCGGGCUUGGUGUUGGGGAUCGGCGAGCCUCCGCGCCCGCCGUCCCCUAAAUCUAGUGGCGGUCUCGCUGUAGCUUCCUCUGCGUAGUAGCACACCUCGCACUGGGAAACAGCGCGGCCACGCCGUUAAACCCCCAACUUCUGAACGUUUGACCUCGGAUCAGGUAGGAAUACCCGCUGAACUUAAGCAUAUCAAUAAGCGGAGGA